rnacentral:rRNA from 1 species
AGCGAACGCUGGCGGCAGGCUUAACACAUGCAAGUCGAACGGGCAUAGCAAUAUGUCAGUGGCAGACGGGUGAGUAACGCGUGGGAACGUACCUUUUGGUUCGGAACAACACAGGGAAACUUGUGCUAAUACCGGAUAAGCCCUUACGGGGAAAGAUUUAUCGCCGAAAGAUCGGCCCGCGUCUGAUUAGCUAGUUGGUAGGGUAAUGGCCUACCAAGGCGACGAUCAGUAGCUGGUCUGAGAGGAUGAUCAGCCUCAUUGGGACUGAGACACGGCCCAAACUCCUACGGGAGGCAGCAGUGGGGAAUAUUGGACAAUGGGCGAAAGCCUGAUCCAGCCAUGCCGCGUGAGUGAUGAAGGCCCUAGGGUUGUAAAGCUCUUUUGUGCGGGAAGAUAAUGACGGUACCGCAAGAAUAAGCCCCGGCUAACUUCGUG